AACGCUGGCGGCGUGCCUAACACAUGCAAGUCGAACGAGAAAGUGGUAGCAAUACCAUGAGUAAAGUGGCGCACGGGUGAGUAACACGUGACUAACCUACCCUUGAGUGGGGGAUAACCGAGGGAAACCUUAGCUAAUACCGCAUAAUACCCACGGGUCAAAGGAGCAAUUCGCUCGAGGAGGGGGUCGCGGCCGAUUAGUUAGUUGGCGGGGUAAUGGCCCACCAAGACGAUGAUCGGUAUCCGGCCUGAGAGGGCGCACGGACACACUGGAACUGAAACACGGUCCAGACUCCUACGGGAGGCAGCAGUGGGGAAUUUUGCGCAAUGGGGGAAACCCUGACGCAGCAACGCCGCGUGGAGGAUGAAGUCCUUCGGGACGUAAACUCCUUUCGAUCGGGACGAUUAUGACGGUAC
rnacentral:rRNA from 1 species